GGAAACCACCGAGGCCAUAGAGGAACUCACCACCACCCUCCACCUCCACCUUCUUUAGUUCCAUCCUCUUUUACUGUCACCACCACCACCACCCUCUUCUUCAUUUCUUCCUUUCUCUUCGUUUCUUCUACCCUGUAACCCUAGGUUUACUGUUUUGAAUUGACCUUCUAACCUGCAACCCUACACACCAAUUGGAUGAAUCAACGUCGAAGCCCAAGACUUAGAGAUUGGAAUUGAUCUUCUAACCUGCAACCCUAAAUACCUGGAUGGAUCAACGUCGAUGCACAGGAUUUGGUGCUUUGAAUUGAUUUCUAACCUCCAACCCUAAAUACAAAAUUCGACUAAUUGUACAAAUGGAAAGUCCGGUCGUAUCCCGAGAAUAGAAGUUCGUCUUCGUAUGAAAGUUGAGAAUGAGCGGCAACAUCAAAGCGAUGUUUGAAUAAACAAUCUCCGUAUUUCAGAAAAGGAAAAACUAGCGGGAAUGACUGAAGCCGAAAGACAAGAGCUUCUUCACAAACGUCACAAUGCUUCUCUUAUCUAAGCUGGAACUUGAAACUGCGAAGUUUAAGAUAAGGAUUGCGUUGGUCUUCUUUGAUUUCCUAUUAUGUAAGAUAGAAGUCAGUUUUGUGCUGUAAAUGGAAGUAUGCUAAAGUUUAGAGGGAUCAUUUAGUUUGAAACAACUUUAGAGUGUCAGACUCAUUAUGGACGAAGAUCAUAGUUGAAAAAUUUGGUGAAACAUUUAUCGGUUGGGAAACUCUCUAACCCAAAGGAGCGAAAGGUGGUAGCUUGUGGUUUAAAUAUCUAUAAAAAAGUUUAGAUUAUUGUAAA